rnacentral:rRNA from 1 species
GACGUAGGGCGCGAGCGUUGUCCGGAUUUAUUGGGCGUAAAGAGCUCGUAGGCGGCUUGUUGCGUCGGCUGUGAAAACCCGCGGCUUAACUGUGGGCUUGCAGCUGAUACGGGCAGGCUAGAGUUCGGUAGGGGAGACUGGAAUUCCAGGUGUAGCGGUGAAAUGCGUAGAUAUCUGGAGGAACACCGGUGGCGAAGGCGGCAUCCUGGACCAACACUGACACUGAGGAGCGAAAGCCAGGGGAGCAAACGGG